rnacentral:rRNA from 1 species
UACGUAGGUGGCAAGCGUUGUCCGGAUUUACUGGGCGUAAAGAGCGCGCAGGCGGUCGUUCAAGUCGCGUGUGAAAGCCCCCGGCUCAACUGGGGAGGGUCAUUCGAUACUGAUCGACUCGAAGGCAGGAGAGGGUAGUGGAAUUCCCGGUGUAGUGGUGAAAUGCGUAGAUAUCGGGAGGGACACCAGUGGCGAAGGCGACUACCUGGCCUGUUCUUGACGCUGAGGCGCGAAAGCUAGGGGAGCAAACGGG